CAUAUCUGCAGGUCUAGUUCAUAUUUUCCCAAUGUUACAAUUUUCAGAUAGGACAGCACCAAUUUUAGUGUUUCCAAUUGCAUUUGAUGUGCCAGAUCCAGUGUCUUGCUCUUACAUCUGUUGCAAUCUAUUUGCAUGUGCCUUACAUUUGUGUGCCCUAUUUUCAGAACAUGUUAAACCUAUGUAAAAACAGGGUUGUUCUCUUUGACAAUAAAACAAGCAAUAAGAAGCGCCAUUUGGCAUAACUGAAAAAAUUGCUUGAUGCAGUAGACUCUGUUAUAUCCAGCAAUGAUGGAUGUCCAUUUUCCAACCAGAUCAGUCGAAUUCAGGUGCUUUAACAUUUGGUCAUAUUCCAUCCCUGCACUAAAUUUUCUCACUGUACCUUCGUUAUCUUCUUGCAGCAAGCGCAGAGCCGCAAAGAAAUAAGUGUUGAUGAAUGCUGUGCAGAACAGAUGUCCAGAAUGAAGAAAGAGAUGCAUGAUGAAUGCCUUGCACAGCUUGCAAAGAUGGUGCAGGAAAAUCCAAACAGUACAAUCACUAGGCUUGAAAAACUACUGUUGGAAGAGCAAAAAGCCAGGCUGGAGUCGGAGAAUGAGGUGGGAGAAUCAUUAUUACGAUCAGAAAAGGAGAUCCAGAAUCUCACUGAGAUGCUAGAGAAGGCUAAGGAGGAGAGUGAAAACUCUCAAAAAGAAUUGGAGAAAUCCAAAAAGAGAGUGAAAACUCUUGAAAAGAAAAAGUAGCAGUUAGCGUGACAAUAGCAUAAUUCUCAAUUGGCUAAGAUGCAUACGGCUAAACUUUUGGGUUGGAGAAUGUCCUAUGUGUUGCUUAAGUGAAAACCUGUUCUUUAACUGAUUUUAUGGACUUUGUUACACCUACGGGAUUGUGGUAUGAAAAGCUACGUAGAACAUGA